AUUGAACGCUGGCGGCAUGCUUUACACAUGCAAGUCGAACGGUAACAGGCCUUCGGGUGCUGACGAGUGGCGAACGGGUGAGUAAUGCAUCGGAACGUACCCAGAGGUGGGGGAUAACGCAGCGAAAGCUGUGCUAAUACCGCAUGUGAUCUGAGGAUGAAAGCGGGGGACCAAGCAGCAAUGUUUGGCCUCGCGCCUCUGGAGCGGCCGAUGUCAGAUUAGGUAGUUGGUGGGGUAAAGGCCUACCAAGCCGACGAUCUGUAGCUGGUCUGAGAGGACGACCAGCCACACUGGGACUGAGACACGGCCCAGACUCCUACGGGAGGCAGCAGUGGGGAAUUUUGGACAAUGGGCGCAAGCCUGAUCCAGCAAUGCCGCGUGCGGGAAGAAGGCCUUCGGGUUGUAAACCGCUUUUGUACGGAACGAAAAGGCUCUGGCUAAUACCUGGGGCUGAUGACGGUACCGUAAGAAUAAGCACCGGCUAACUACGUG
rnacentral:rRNA from 1 species